AAGAGGGUCAUCUGGCUGGGACAUCUGCAACCUAAGUGACCAACAGGGUUAACUCAGCUGAUUUGGCUGGCUAUGCUGACGUCCGCUUCCACCUCACUGUUUUAUUUGCAUCCCUACAGAAGCUGCUGCAUGCUAGAUCCAAAAGCACAAUCUUUCUGGGCUACAAGAGGACUGCUCUUCACUCAAGACUAUACAAGUAGUAGUGUUCUCCUAGUAUAACCUCUAAACAAACUCCCAACACUCAUCACAAGGCUUUUUAAUGUUCCUGCCAUCUAAAAUAAAAAAAGUUGUUGGCGGUUUAUAAUCAUACUUU
rnacentral:snRNA from 1 species